ensembl:misc_RNA 7SK 7SK RNA
GGAUGUGAGGGCGAUCUGGCUGUGACAUCUGUCAUCCCAUUGAUCGCCAGGGUUGAUUAGGCUGAUCUGGCUGGCUAGGCAGGUGUCCCCUUCCUUCCUCACCACCCAUGUGCAUCCCUUCCAAAGCUGUGCAUCUGCUUGGCCCACCCCAUAGAGGAGGACUGUUUCCUCUGACAAGGGUAUGCAAGUCUAUUCCCCUGCUAGAACCUCCAAACAAGCUCUCAAGAUCCUGAGCACUUAUUCAGUUCACUGUCUUAAAAUUGGUGUGCAGAAUGUGUAAACAAGGUUAAAUAAAUCUGACUAUUAUAACUACACAGUUUUAGCUGCAUAUGGUGGCACACACUUGU